rnacentral:tRNA from 1 species
GCCUUCGUGGUGCAGUGGUCAGCACACUCGGCGCGUAUUCGAGAGGUCCGUGGUUCGAGUCCCGGAUAAGACA